rnacentral:sRNA from 1 species
CGCGGAAGGAGACAUGGGCUCCGCUCCCUGGGCCCCGGUCCUGCUGCUGGCGCUCGGGCUGCGCGGCCUCCAGGCGGGGAGUGAGUGUGGCGGCGCCCCCAGCCCAUUCCCCGGCCCCAUCCCCGGCUCCGGCCCCGCCUCUGAGGUUCGCGUCCCCCCACAGCCCGCAGGGCCCUGGACCCCGGCUUCCAGGAGCGCUUCUUCCAGCAGCGUCUGGACCACUUCAACUUCGAGCGCUUCGGCAACAAGACCUUCCCCCAGCGCUUCCUGGUGUCGGGUGAGACCCCGACCCCGGCCCGGCCGCCCCUGCCGUCCCGCCGCCCCCCAGCACCGUCGCCUCAUGCGCCCUCCCCACAGACAGGUUCUGGAUCCGGGGCGAGGGGCCCAUCUUCUUCUACACUGGGAACGAGGGCGACGUGUGGGCCUUCGCCAACAACUCGGGCUUCGUCGCGGAGCUGGCGGCCGAGCAGGGGGCUCUACUGGUCUUCGCGGAGCACCGCUACUACGGGAAGUCGCUGCCGUUCGGUGCGCAGUCCACGCGGCGCGGGCACACGGAGCUGCUGACGGUGGAGCAGGCCCUGGCCGACUUCGCAGAGCUGCUCCGCGCGCUACGGCGCGACCUCGGGGCCCAGGAUGCCCCCGCCAUCGCCUUCGGUGGAAGUUAUGGGGGGAUGCUCAGCGCCUACCUGAGGAUGAAGUAUCCCCACCUGGUGGCGGGGGCGCUGGCGGCCAGCGCGCCCGUUCUAGCUGUGGCAGGCCUCGGCGACUCCAACCAGUUCUUCCGGGACGUCACGGCGGUGAGUGAGGCUUGGGGUCCUCCAGGCCCCCUAAGGGACAGCGGCUGCAGUGAGCACGGUCUCUUUCCCCCAGGACUUUGAGGGCCAGAGUCCCAAAUGCACCCAGGGUGUGCGGGAAGCGUUCCGACAGAUCAAGGACUUGUUCCUACGGGGAGCCUACGACACGGUCCGCUGGGAGUUCGGCACCUGCCAGCCGCUGUCAGACGAGAAGGACCUGACCCAGCUCUUCAUGUUCGCUCGGAAUGCCUUCACCGUGUUGGCCAUGAUGGACUAUCCUUACCCCACUGACUUCCUGGGUCCCCUCCCCGCCAA